rnacentral:sRNA from 1 species
GAAAAUAUUAUUGAUCAGCUUAUUACCCAUUCAAGGAGAUUGAUCUUGCUUUCUUCGAGAGAGUUAUUAGUGUUUGAUCGACCAGCAACUGUCUCCAACAUAACCACCCCAAAUGCAAAAACAUCAGCCUUUUGUGUCAAAUGACCUCUCAUUGCAUACUCAGGAGCCAGAUAGCCACUUGUCAAAGGUAAAACAAGUUAAAAGUAGCUUUCAUGUCAAAAGUUACAGCUAGAAGAAGAGAAAUGGUGUUAUGUUCUUACAAUGUGCCUGCAAUUCCCGUGCUCACAUGAGUUUGCUUCUCAUCAUAGAGCUUGGCGAGUCCAAAGUCAGAGAUCUUUGGGAUCAGAUCAGUGUCAAGUAGUAUGUUGCUGGCUUUGAUGUCCCUAUGCACGAUGCAUACACUCGACUCCUCAUGAAGAUAACUUAGGCCUCUUGCAAUGCCUAAAAUGAUCUCGAAGCGCAUUGCCCAGUCUAGAUUUAAGCUACUAUGUCCUACACAAGUCGAAAUAAC